AGCAGGUCAUGGACAGAAAGGAUACCUACUUUGAAGAACUUCUAUGCCUCCCUCAGUCAUGGACAGAAAGAUCAGGCUGGAGGCCAGAUCCUUUUAAAAGAAGAACAUGGAUUUCACAACUGCAAUCCCCCAGUUGAACAUCUCAGAAUUGAUUUUAGUACUGAUUAGAUUUUAAUGUGUAGUUGAAAUACACAUUUGGGUUACUUUUCAA